GCUCAGGACGAACGCUGGCGGCGUGCCUAAUACAUGCAAGUCGAGCGAACAGAAGGGAGCUUGCUCCCGGAUGUUAGCGGCGGACGGGUGAGUAACACGUGGGUAACCUGCCUGUAAGACUGGGAUAACUCCGGGAAACCGGAGCUAAUACCGGAUAGUUCCUUGAACCGCAUGGUUCAAGGAUGAAAGACGGUUUCGGCUGUCACUUACAGAUGGACCCGCGGCGCAUUAGCUAGUUGGUGGGGUAAUGGCUCACCAAGGCGACGAUGCGUAGCCGACCUGAGAGGGUGAUCGGCCACACUGGGACUGAGACACGGCCCAGACUCCUACGGGAGGCAGCAGUAGGGAAUCUUCCGCAAUGGACGAAAGUCUGACGGAGCAACGCCGCGUGAGUGAUGAAGGUUUUCGGAUCGUAAAGCUCUGUUGUUAGGGAAGAACAAGUGCGAGAGUAACUGCUCGCACCUUGACGGU
rnacentral:rRNA from 1 species